GACGAACGCUGGCGGCGUGCUUAACACAUGCAAGUCGAACGGAAAGGCCCCCAUCUUGGUGGGGGUGCUCGAGUGGCGAACGGGUGAGUAACACGUGGGUGAUCUGCCCUGUACUUCGGGAUAAGCUUGGGAAACUGGGUCUAAUACCGGAUAGGACCAUGGUUUAGUGUCUCAUGGUGGAAAGAUUAUUGUUUUGGUGCAGGAUGAGCUCGCGGCCUAUCAGCUUGUUGGUGGGGUAAUGGCCUACCAAGGCGUCGACGGGUAGCCGGCCUGAGAGGGUGGACGGCCACAUUGGGACUGAGAUACGGCCCAGACUCCUACGGGAGGCAGCAGUGGGGAAUAUUGCACAAUGGGCGCAAGCCUGAGGCAGCGACGCCGCGUGGGGGAUGACGGCCGUCGGGUUGUAAACUCCUUUCGUUAGGGACGAAGCCGCACUUUUUUUGGGUGUGGUGACGGUACCUUUGUUAAGAAGCACCGGCUAACUACGUG
rnacentral:rRNA from 1 species